rnacentral:rRNA from 1 species
CAGCCGCCGCGGUAAUACGAAGGGUGCAAGCGUUACUCGGAAUUACUGGGCGUAAAGCGUGCGUAGGCGGCUUCUUAAGUCGGAUGUGAAAUCCCUGAGCUUAACUUGGGAAUUGCAUUCGAUACUGGUUAGCUAGAGUGUGGGAGAGGAUGGUAGAAUUCCAGGUGUAGCGGUGAAAUGCGUAGAGAUCUGGAGGAAUACCGAUGGCGAAGGCAGCCAUCUGGCCUAACACUGACGCUGAGGUACGAAAGCAUGGGGAGCAAACAGGAUUAGAUACCCCGGUAGUCCCUGUCUCUUAUAC